UACGAAGGGGGCUAGCGUUGUUCGGAAUCACUGGGCGUAAAGCGCGCGUAGGCGGAUCUUUAAGUCAGGGGUGAAAUCCCGAGGCUCAACCUCGGAACUGCCUUUGAUACUGGGGAUCUCGAGUCCGGGAGAGGUGAGUGGAACUGCGAGUGUAGAGGUGAAAUUCGUAGAUAUUCGCAAGAACACCAGUGGCGAAGGCGGCUCACUGGCCCGGAACGUGACGCUGAGGUGCGAAAGCGUGGGGAGCAAACAGGG
rnacentral:rRNA from 1 species